AGGAUAUAAGUGUAGGGAACGUCAACUUUAAGGGGUAGUUAUAGGAAAAUAAAGUCCUAAAUGUGAGAUUAAAACACACACACACACACACCUACACACACACACAAAGCAGAUAAAUACAAGGAAAACUAGAAGAUGAUAUUAUCAGGAAAUAGAACAGAGGAUAUUUGUGUGGUCAGGCCCCUCAAGAUGGGUGUUGUCUUGCUCUCUGUCCACCACCACCCCCUGCCUGACUAGUGCCUUCUUCACCUGUAUCUAACUGCAAAGUUCUGACCAUCUUACAUAUUUGCCCCAGGCCCCAGCGGGAGAUUGUUCUCUUCCCCUUUGAGAUGAGGUGGUGAGGGGCGUGCCAUCUACUGGUUUCCCUGGUAACUAAUGAGCCCAUCUGAGGUCAAUUUCCUUAUAACUGGUAAUCUCCUCCCCCCCACCCCUGGGAACAAAGACUGCCUGGUGAUCCUGUCUCCUGCGCUCGCUAGGGUGUCACUCCAGGACCUUGCUUCAGACAGGGGAGGAUCCAGUGACAAGUCUACAGCCUGGAAGAGGGUCUUCACCUGACCACUGGGCACCUUGAUCUCAGACUUUCAGCCUCCAGCACAACUGAAGGUCUUUGGAUUCCCUGGCAACCUAGGAAAUAUAACUCCCUGGCCUUGAAUUCCUCAGCCUUGUCCUUGGCAACAAUGCUGGACAAAACUAUGAAAUGGGUUAUCUAUAAAGUGGACUUUUGGAGAGACUUGGAACUUUAAAAAGAUGUCUCAAUCACUUCAGUUUCCUUUUAAAAGAAGACAAAGCAUGAAUACGUGAGGAUAUGUUGAAUGAAAUAUAGAGAUCAUUUUAUGGGUAGUGGCACAUCCUCCUAGCUAUUUUUAACUGAGUACAUAUUUUUGUCACUGUUAGAAUACAUUUUGAAAGAAAAUUACAUAGCGAUUGGAUAAUUUGUGUGCUGACCAUCUCAUGUAUGAAAUAGGCUAUGGAUCCCCAUAGCCUAUUUAACACCUGCCUAAGGUGUUUAUCCCAGAAAUGACAUAGAACUCUUCAUGCAUUGGCUUGUCAGGUGACCAGAAGCCAGAGAUAAGUGAGGAUAAGGGUGCCACUAUUACCAUGAGAGAGAAACUAAGUGAAUCACGUGGAAAUAAAAUCUGCUUUUGGC